UAUCACCAUUCCUAAGAAUGGCGGAGAUAAAAUACUCCUCCCUGGAGGGAGGCUGCUCCCACCCGAACACCCUGCCUAUACCCCACUGUGGUACCCCAGCAUUGGCUCUAUAAUCACAGUGACAUUCUGAAAGAAGACCUUGAAGCCUGUGGAACAGCUGUCCUUCACCAGCCUCCGAGACUCUUACCUGGAGGUGGCAGCCAUGAAAAGCAAGUCAGAUCUGAACAAGCGUCAGCCUCAGGCUUGUUGAGGGCACAGUUGGGUCAGCACAUGGCCACCUUGAAAGAACGUGAUAAUUCUAUCACAGAAGAGGUAGCUAAGAAGUCUGAAGUUUUCCUAGUCACAAACGUGGA